rnacentral:rRNA from 1 species
GACGAACGCUGGCGGCGUGCUUAACACAUGCAAGUCGAACGGAAAGGCCCUGCUUUUGUGGGGUGCUCGAGUGGCGAACGGGUGAGUAACACGUGAGUAACCUGCCCUUGACUUUGGGAUAACUUCAGGAAACUGGGGCUAAUACCGGAUAGGAGCUCCUGCUGCAUGGUGGGGGUUGGAAAGUUUCGGCGGUUGGGGAUGGACUCGCGGCUUAUCAGCUUGUUGGUGGGGUAGUGGCUUACCAAGGCUUUGACGGGUAGCCGGCCUGAGAGGGUGACCGGCCACAUUGGGACUGAGAUACGGCCCAGACUCCUACGGGAGGCAGCAGUGGGGAAUAUUGCACAAUGGGCGGAAGCCGGAUGCAGCAACGCCACGUGCGGGAUGACGGCCUUCGGGUUGUAAACCGCUUUCGCCUGUGACGAAGCGUGAGUGACGGUAAUGGGUAAAGAAGCACCGGCUAACUACGU